AAAGACAUACUUGAUUCUUAAAAUUUUAGAGGCAUAAGUCCAUGCACCUGCUCUGGGAGGACAAUAAGGUGAUCCAUAGGUAUCAAAAUGUUUGGACCGGUUGGACGCAUUUGCAGUUUCUCCAAGGAUGGGAGGUGUGUAGGUGCCUUCAAAAUCCGAACUUAUAUGAUCAGUUCUAUCGCCACCAACUUUUCCCAGUGCUUUUGACAUCCAUAUGGAGAUUGCAGAUC